UACGUGGGGUGCGAGCGUUGUCCGGAUUUAUUGGGCGUAAAGAGCGUGUAGGCGGCCUGACAGGUCUGCUGUGAAAACUCGAGGCUCAACCUCGAGAUGUCGGCGGAAACCGUCUGGCUAGAGUCCGGAAGAGGAGAGUGGAAUUCCUGGUGUAGCGGUGAAAUGCGCAGAUAUCAGGAAGAACACCUAUGGCGAAGGCAGCGCUCUGGGACGGUACUGACGCUGAGACGCGAAAGCGUGGGGAGCGAACAGG
rnacentral:rRNA from 1 species